CCUACGGGAGGCAGCAGUGGGGAAUAUUGCACAAUGGGGGAAACCCUGAUGCAGCGACGCCGCGUGAGUGAAGAAGUAUUUCGGUAUGUAAAGCUCUAUCAGCAGGGAAGAAACUGACGGUACCUGACUACGAAGCACCGGCUAACUACGUGCAAGCAGCCGCGGUAAUACGUAGGGGGCAAGCGUUAUCCGGAUUUACUGGGUGUAAAGGGCGCGUAGGCGGCAGCGCAAGUCUGAAGUGAAAUCCCCUGGCUUAACCAUGGAACUGCUUUUGAAACUGUGCAGCUGGAGUGCAGGAGAGGUAAGCGGAAUUCCUAGUGUAGCGGUGAAAUGCGUAGAUAUUAGGAGGAACACCAGUGGCGAAGGCGGCUUACUGGACUGUAACUGACGUUGAGGCUCGAAAGCGUGGGGAGCAAACAGGAUUAGAUACCCUUGUAGUC
rnacentral:rRNA from 1 species